rnacentral:rRNA from 1 species
UGCGUAGGCGUCCAGGAAAGUUAUUUGUUAAAGCCUUCGGCUUAACCGGAGAUAUGCAAGUAAAACUAUCUGGAUAGAGUUUAAGAGAGGAAAAUGGAAUUCCUGGUGUAGCGGUGACAUGCGUAGAUAUCAGGAGGAACAUCAAUGGCGAAGGCAGUUUUCUGGCUUAAAACUGACGCUGAGGCACGAAAGCGUGGGGAGCAAACAGGAUUAGAUACCCUGGUAGUC